rnacentral:rRNA from 1 species
GAUGAACGCUGGCGGCGUGCCUAAUACAUGCAAGUCGAGCGAACAGACGAGGAGCUUGCUCCUCUGACGUUAGCGGCGGACGGGUGAGUAACACGUGGAUAACCUACCUAUAAGACUGGGAUAACUUCGGGAAACCGGAGCUAAUACCGGAUAAUAUAUUGAACCGCAUGGUUCAAUAGUGAAAGACGGUUUUGCUGUCACUUAUAGAUGGAUCCGCGCCGCAUUAGCUAGUUGGUAAGGUAACGGCUUACCAAGGCAACGAUGCGUAGCCGACCUGAGAGGGUGAGCGGCCACACUGGAACGGAGACACGGUCCAGACUCCUACGGGAGGCAGCAGUAGGGAAUCUUCCGCAAUGGGCGAAAGCCUGACGGAGCAACGCCGCGUGAGGGAUGAAGGUCUUCGGAUCGUAAAACUCUGUUAUUAGGGAAGAACAAAUGUGUAAGUAACUAUGCACGUCUUGACGGUACCUAAUCAGAAAGCCACGGCUAACUACGUG